rnacentral:rRNA from 1 species
GAUGAACGCUGGCGGCGUGCUUAACACAUGCAAGUCGAACGGUGAAGCUCCAGCUUGCUGGAGUGGAUCAGUGGCGAACGGGUGAGUAACACGUGAGCAACCUGCCCCUGACUCUGGGAUAACAGCCGGAAACGGCUGCUAAUACCGGAUAUGCACCAUGAACGCAUGUUCUGUGGUGGGAAAGAUUUUUCGGUUGGGGAUGGGCUCGCGGCCUAUCAGCUUGUUGGUGAGGUAAUGGCUCACCAAGGCGUCGACGGGUAGCCGGCCUGAGAGGGUGACCGGCCACACUGGGACUGAGAAACGGCCCAGACUCCUACGGGAGGCAGCAGUGGGGAAUAGUGCACAAUGGGCGAAAGCCUGAUGCAGCAACGCCGCGUGAGGGAUGACGGCCUUCGGGUUGUAAACCUCUUUUAGCAGGGAAGAAGCGAGAGUGACGGUACCUGCAGAAAAAGCGCCGGCUAACUACGUG